rnacentral:lncRNA from 1 species
AUUUGUCUUGUAAACUGGACACAGGCACCCUGGGAACUGGAACUGGUUCAAAAUUACAUCUUUACUCCCAGCUCACAGAACAAGAGCCUGAACUCCCUUUAAACCUGGCGGACCUCUGCAGCAAAAAAUCUAAGAAGUACCUACACAUGAACAGGAUGGACAGAGAAGACAGUCCAUUCUGAACAAAUGACUAUGGCUUUGGUUUGAUUCCAGGUAAUGCCUGUCCAGUCCCAGUUAAUAUCUGAUUAGAAUUAGGCUUUCUUCUGGAGUAAGAAGCGGCAGCUAGCUGCACUGUCAUCUACAAGAAGGCCUUAGGAAACCUCUCCUUCCCCACAGGGAGUGGCUGAUGAAAGAUGAGACUGCCUUUGGUUUUCCUCUUUGCCCUUGAACAAUUGAAGGAGCCUUUCCGUUUCCCAUUUGGCUGGUUUGAAGCUCCUGAUUGAUUCCCUUUUGCAUGUCAGAUCUCACCUCUGCAGCCUUUGAGGUCCAGCCAGCAGACCAAGAGUAUUUAUUUUCAAACUUCUAUGCCUAUCUGGGGUGAGUAGGUUGGCAUCUUGUUGCCUACUGGUUCCUCCUGAGCAUUUUGUGGCACUAGUUACUAUCCCCAUGGAACUGGCCUAAAAGGAAACGAGAGUGUCCAAUGUUUUCCAGUACCUUUAUUCUCAUUUCUCACCACUUGUCCCCAUGUAUCACUCUCAAAGUCUUUAAAGAGCUAAUAGUCCAAGACUCAUUUAUAUUUAUCAACUCGGAACUGUUACAAGCAAAUCUAGAAGGGCAAUGACCUUGGUGGUUUCCUUUUCUAAGAAAUUAGUUCAAAUACCUUUUGAGGCCUUGCUUGACCCUGACCCUGGCAAUACCUGGCAAGUGCCCUACUGCUUCCAGAUCCUGUGUUGAAGCUAUUUUGGAGAGAGAAGAUAGGCUCCAAUUUUAAAAAUAACAUUGCCCCACCCCCCACCCCCCCAAAAAAAACCAUUUCCCGAGAAAUUACAUAUAAUGUAUGAGACUCUGUUCCAGGCACCACGACAGCUACAACAUGGAACAAACCCCACUAGUUACCAAGUUUGGCACACUGUACACAGCUAUUGGACCAGAAUGUGUUGCAGCUGCAGAGUGGAGAGAACAGACAUCUGCUGAAUACCUGCCAUGUACCAGGACCUUACCAGAAACUCUAGCUCUGGAACACAAGUCAGCCUGA